rnacentral:ncRNA from 1 species
UUAAAGACGAUGACCGGGGCAGUAGGUGACGGCCCUCUUCUUGAAGCGAGCUGGGGACGGUGAAAGCCCAGUGUAUGGCCAUCUCCGAACAUCUCCCGCAAGUUGUCGCCUGAACGUUUCUGAGUUUAGCGUAAACGCUCUGAAUCAGUAAGGUAGAACGUCUUUCCUCCACGUUACGGAGGGCGAAAGAGGUACUUCUGUUUUGAUGACGGCAGAAGUGCUAUCUAGGGUGGUACCGCGGGAUUCCCUUCUCGUCCCUAAA